rnacentral:rRNA from 1 species
CCUACGGGAGGCAGCAGUGGGGAAUAUUGCACAAUGGGGGAAACCCUGAUGCAGCGACGCCGCGUGAAGGAAGAGGUCUUUCGGUAUUUAAACUUCUAUCAGCAGGGAAGAAAAUGACGGUACCUGACUAAGAAGCCCCGGCUAACUACGUGCCAGCAGCCGCGGUAAUACGUAGGGGGCAAGCGUUAUCCGGAUUGAUUGGGUGUAAAGGGAGCGUAGGCGGUUUAGCAAGUCAGAAGUGAAAGCCCGGGGCUCAACUUCGGGACUGCUUUUGAAACUGUUGAACUAGAUUGCAGGAGAGGUAAGUGGAAUGCCUGGUGUAGCGGUGAAAUGCGUAGAGAUUAGGCAGAACACCGGUGGCGAAGGCGGCUUACUGGGCUGUAAAUGACGCUGAGGCACGAAAGCGUGGGGAGCAAACAGGAUUAGAUACCCGGGUAGUC